rnacentral:rRNA from 1 species
UACGUAGGGGCCUAGCGUUGUCCGGAUUUAUUGGGCGUAAAGAGCUCGUAGGCGGCUUGGUUAGUCAGGUGUGAAAUCUCCACGCUCAACGUGGAGGGGCCACCUGAUAUUGCCAUGGCUUGAGUCCGGUAGGGGAGUGUGGAAUUCCCGGUGUAGCGGUGAAAUGCGCAGAUAUCGGGAGGAACACCCGUAGCGAAGGCGGCACUCUGGGCCGGUACUGACGCUGAGGAGCGAAAGCGUGGGGAGCAAACAGG